GUUAUAUGGUCAAGCGAAUAAGCGCACACGGUGGAUGCCUAGGCGGUCAGAGGCGAUGAAGGACGUGGUAGCCUGCGAAAAGUGUCGGGGAGCUGGCAACAAGCUUUGAUCCGGCAAUAUCCGAAUGGGGAAACCCACUGCUUCGGCAGUAUCCUGCAGUGAAUUCAUAGCUGCUGGAAGCGAACUCGGUGAACUGAAAUAUCUAAGUAACCGGAGGAAAAGAAAUCAACCGAGAUUCCCUAAGUAGUGACGAGCGAACGGGGAACAGCCCUUAAGCUGGAAUGGCUUUAGAAAAACAAUCUGGAAAGAUUGGCCAUAGAAGGUGAUAGCCCUGUAUUUAAAAGGGCCACUCCAGUGAAGACGAGUAGGGCGGGGCACGUGAAACCCUGUCUGAAUAUGGGGGGACCAUCCUCCAAGGCUAAAUACUCCUGACCGACCGAUAGUGAACCAGUACCGUGAGGGAAAGGCGAAAAGAACCCCGGAGAGGGGAGUGAAAUAGAUCCUGAAACCGUGUGCGUACAAGCAGUAGGAGCUCGCAAGAGUGACUGCGUACCUUUUGUAUAAUGGGUCAGCGACUUACUGUUCGUGGCAAGCUUAACCGUAUAGGGGAGGCGAAGGGAAACCGAGUCUGAUAAGGGCGCAUAGUCGCGGGCAGUAGACCCGAAACCGGGUGAUCUAGUCAUGGCCAGGGUGAAGGUGCCGUAACAGGUACUGGAGGCCCGAACCCACGUCUGUUGCAAAAGACGGGGAUGAGCUGUGAUUAGGAGUGAAAAGCUAAUCGAACCCGGAGAUAGCUGGUUCUCCUCGAAAGCUAUUUAGGUAGCGCCUCGGACGAAUACUACUGGGGGUAGAGCACUGUUAUGGCUAGGGGGUCAUCGCGACUUACCAAACCAUUGCAAACUCCGAAUACCAGUACGUACUAUCCGGGAGACACACGGCGGGUGCUAACGUCCGUCGUGAAAAGGGAAACAACCCAGACCCACAGCUAAGGUCCCAAAUUCACUGCUAAGUGGAAAACGAUGUGGAAAGGCACAGACAGCCAGGAGGUUGGCUUAGAAGCAGCCACCCUUUAAAGAAAGCGUAAUAGCUCACUGGUCGAGUCGGUCUGCGCGGA
rnacentral:rRNA from 1 species